rnacentral:rRNA from 1 species
CAAUAGCGUAUAUUAAAGUUGUUGCAGUUAAAAAGCUCGUAGUUGGAUUUCUGGUAGGAGCGACCGUGCCGAACUUGAUUGUUCGAGUAUUGUGUUGUCUUCAGCCAUCCUCGUGGAGAACUUUUCUAACAUUAACUUGUUGGGAUUGGGACCCGCGUCGUUUACUGUGAAAAAAUUAGAGUGUUUAAAGCAGGCAUUAGCUUGAAUACAUUAGCAUGGAAUAAUAAGAUAGGACUUUGGUACUAUUUUGUUGGUUUGCAUACCAAAUUAAUGAUCAACAGGAACAGUUUGAGGAUAUUCGUAUGAACAUGUCAGAGGUAAAAUUCUUGGAUUUUGAUCAGACGAACUACUGCGAAAGCAUUUAUCAAGGAUGUUUUCAUUAA